rnacentral:rRNA from 1 species
AGUGAACGCUGGCGGUAGGCCUAACACAUGCAAGUCGAACGGCAGCACAGUAAGAGCUUGCUCUUACGGGUGGCGAGUGGCGGACGGGUGAGGAAUACAUCGGAAUCUACUUUUUCGUGGGGGAUAACGUAGGGAAACUUACGCUAAUACCGCAUACGACCUACGGGUGAAAGCAGGGGAUGUUCGGACCUUGCGCGAUUGAAUGAGCCGAUGUCGGAUUAGCUAGUUGGCGGGGUAAAGGCCCACCAAGGCGACGAUCCGUAGCUGGUCUGAGAGGAUGAUCAGCCACACUGGAACUGAGACACGGUCCAGACUCCUACGGGAGGCAGCAGUGGGGAAUAUUGGACAAUGGGCGCAAGCCUGAUCCAGCCAUACCGCGUGGGUGAAGAAGGCCUUCGGGUUGUAAAGCCCUUUUGUUGGGAAAGAAAAGCAGCAGGUUAAUACCCCGCUGUUCUGACGGUACCCAAAGAAUAAGCACCGGCUAACUUCGUG